AGCUAUGAUCCAGAGUACCACGAGACACGUGAAACCUUGUGGGAAGCAGGGAGGACCACCUCCCAAGGCUAAAUACUACCUGAUGACCGAUAGUGAAGCAGUACCGUGAGGGAAAGGUGAAAAGAACCCCGGGAGGGGAGUGAAAUAGAACCUGAAACCGUAUGCCUACAACCGUUCAAAGCCCCUUAUGAGGGUGAUGAAGUGCUUUUUGUAGAACGAGCCAACGAGUUACGAUAUGUUGCGAGGUUAAGUACUUAAGGUACGGAGCCGAAGGGAAACCGAGUCUGAAUAGGGCAACUAGUAGCAUGUCGUAGACCCGAAACCGGGUGACCUAUCCAUGGCCAGGUUGAAGCGAAGGUAAAACUUCGUGGAGGACCGAACCACGUUGCUGUUGAAAAAGCAUGGGAUGAGCUGUGGAUAGCGGAGAAAUUCCAAUCGAACUCGGAUAUAGCUGGUUCUCCUCGAAAUAGCUUUAGGGCUAGCGUCGGGUAAUUAAGUACUGGAGGUAGAGCACUGAAUGGGCUAGGGGGCAUAGCGCUUACCGAACCUUAUCAAACUCCGAAUGCCAGAUACUCGUACCCCGGCAGUCAGACUACGAGUGAUAAGACCCGUGGUCAAAAGGGAAACAGCCCAGAUCGUCAGCUAAGGUCCCAAAGUGUAAGUUAAGUGGGAAAGGAUGUGGGAUUUCUAAGACAACUAGGAUGUUGGCUUAGAAGCAGCCACUCAUUUAAAGAGUGCGUAAUAGCUCACUAGUCGAGAGAUCCUGCGCCGAAAAUGUAACGGGGCUAAACUUACCACCGAAGCUACGGACUUGAAUUUAUUCAAGUGGUAGAGGAGCGUCGUAAUCGGGCUGAAGUCAUACCGUAAGGAGUGGUGGACUGAUUACGAGUGAGAAUGUUGGCAUUAGUAGCGAGAUGUGAGUGAGAAUCUCACAGGCCGAAAACCUAAGGUUUCCUCAGGAAGGCUCGUCCGCUGAGGGUUAGUCGGGACCUAAGCCGAGGCCGAAAGGCGUAGGCGAUGGACAACUGGUUGAUAUUCCAGUACCACUACCAUCGUUAUUAUCGAUGGCGUGACGCAGGAGGAUAGGAUGUGCUAGCUGUUGGAUUAGCUAGUCUAAGCAUUUAGGGAGUUAAGGUAGGCAAAUCCGCCUUAACAAUUCUGAGAUGUGAUGGGGAAGGCUCUACGGAGCUGAAGUAUCUGAUUCCACGCUGCCAAGAAAAGCGUCUAGAGAGAGAAGUAGUGCCCGUACCGCAAACCGACACAGGUAGGUGAGGAGAGAAUCCUAAGGCCGGCGGAAGAAUUGCAGUUAAGGAACUCGGCAAAUUGACCCCGUAACUUCGGGAGAAGGGGUGCCUACGAGAGUAGGCCGCAGAGAAUAGGCCCAAGCAACUGUUUAGCAAAAACACAGGUCUCUGCUAAAGCGUAAGCUGAUGUAUAGGGGCUGACGCCUGCCCGGUGCUGGAAGGUUAAGGGGAAUGCUUAGCGCAAGCGAAGGUAUGAACUUAAGCCCCAGUAAACGGCGGCCGUAACUAUAACGGUCCUAAGGUAGCGAAAUUCCUUGUCAGGUAAGUUCUGACCCGCACGAAUGGCGUAAUGAUUUGGGCACUGUCUCAACUGCAAAUCCGGCGAAGUUGUAGUGCGAGUGAAGAUGCUCGCUACCCGCGAUUGGACGGAAAGACCCCGUAGAGCUUUACUGUAGCUUAGCAUUGAAUUUCGGUAUUGUCUGUACAGGAUAGGUGGGAGGCUUUGAAGCUAGGACGUCAGUCUUAGUGGAGCCAACCUUGGGAUACCACCCUGAUAGUACUGGAAUUCUAACUGGAGGCCAUGAAUCUGGUCACAGGACAUUGUUAGGUGGGCAGUUUGACUGGGGCGGUCGCCUCCUAAAAAGUAACGGAGGCGCCCAAAGGUUCCCUCAGAACGGUCGGAAAUCGUUCGAAGAGUGCAAAGGCAGAAGGGAGCCUGACUGCGACACAUACAGGUGGAGCAGGGACGAAAGUCGGGCUUAGUGAUCCGGUGGUUCCUCGUGGGAGGGCCAUCGCUCAACGGAUAAAAGCUACCUCGGGGAUAACAGGCUGAUCUCCCCCAAGAGUUCACAUCGACGGGGAGGUUUGGCACCUCGAUGUCGGCUCGUCGCAUCCUGGGGCUGAAGUAGGUCCCAAGGGUUGGGCUGUUCGCCCAUUAAAGCGGCACGCGAGCUGGGUUCAGAACGUCGUGAGACAGUUCGGUCCCUAUCCGUCGCGGGCGUAGGAAAUUUGAGAGGA
rnacentral:rRNA from 1 species